UGGGUGGACGUGUUCCAUGGCUUUCAGAAUAAGAUCCUUUGUGUGCACUCAAUCCAUUAAAUCCACAAUUGCCUUCAUCUUGUGGCUGAUCCUUCUGG
rfam:Equus caballus chromosome 4, whole genome shotgun sequence.